AAGAUAAAGCUGAGGUAAUUGCUAUCCAAAUAACACUGUUUCCGAAUCAGGGCUUUUCGAUUGGCGUUUCAGCUCACCAUGCAGUUCUUGAUGGCAAAAGUACAACCUUGUUUAUCAAAUCUUGGGCUUAUUUGUGCAAACAAUUAAAAUUACAACAACAACAACAACAACAAGAACAAACGUACUUGCCUCCGGAGUUAACCCCAUGUUUUGACCGGACGGUCGUCAAAGACCCGGAUGGGAUCGACUUGAUCUACCUCAAACACUGGAUGUCCGGAUCUUCUUCCAACAGGCGAAGCUUGAAUGUUAUGCCUGUUAAACCAGAAAACUAUUAUUCCAACUUGGUCCGAAUGACAUUUGAAUUGAACCGUGAAGACAUAAACAAACUGAGGGAUAAAGUAAACGAAGUACUUUACUCCACUCAAGGCGGUGCACAGUAUUUGUCGUCUUUUGUGAUUACUUGUGCUCAUGUGUUUGUCUGGCUGGUUAAAGCCAGAGAUGUAGAAGCUA
rnacentral:lncRNA from 1 species